rnacentral:lncRNA from 1 species
UCUCAGACCAAGGAAUUCAUCUUCUCAGAGCUGCUGUCCAACCUGUACUCGCAUGGGGACCAGAACACGCUGAUGGAGGAGUUGGCAGAGAAGGCACAGUGGGGCGGCGAGAUGCUGCGCAAGCGCCACGUGCUGACGGAGGCACCCAGCAACAUCGGUGAACAUCAACACGACCACUGUCAGCACGCCCACGGGGGCCCGUGGAUGACUCCUGGCUGCAGGUGCAGAGCAUCCCAGCUGGACGCAGGUACCAGGGCCAGCCCCCACGGUCCCAA